UAAGUUUGGUUGAUUUUACCACUUGUAGGUAUAUCAAUACUAAAUUCGGGGAUGUGGUUCAUCAUCUUGUCUAUCUUUUACCCAUAUGUAGUAAAUCAAGUACAACUUAAUGUCCCUGAUUUACCAUUUGCAAUCAAGCAAUCUCUAAACCAAUUGUAAAAAUAACCACUUGUAAAAGCACACAAUACCACUUGUAGGAAUGUUACGUCUACAUCACCAUUUUACCAAUCAGGAUGCCGAUUCCUGCUUCGCACUUACCAACCUGGAAGCUCCGGCGUAGUCCUCUCACCUAUGCCGAUUCCUGA
rnacentral:lncRNA from 1 species